rnacentral:rRNA from 1 species
GACAGAGGGCGCAAGCGUUGUUCGGAAUCACUGGGCAUAAAGCGCACGUAGGCGGUCCACUAAGUCGAGCGUGAAAUCCCUGGGCUCAACCCAGGAAUGGCGCUCGAUACUGGCGGACUCGAGGACAGGAGGGGUGAGUGGAACUCCAGGUGGAACGGUGAAAUGUGUAGAUAUCUGGAGGAACACCGGUGGCGAAAGCGGCUCACUGGCCUGCCCCUGACGCUGAGGUGCGAAAGCUAGGGGAGCAAACGGG